AAAAAGGAAGCUUUGAAGACGGUGAUGAAAACUCCAGUGAAAAUCGGAACUGGUGAGCUUGAGGGGAGGAGAGAUCGAUGAGAAGCUUUGAAUUUCAUCUCCAUGAGAACCGCAUCCAUCUCACCUCUCCUCCUUGUGGUUCGAAGCAAGAAAUCCCAACCUCAAAAGGGACUUGAUGAAGCGCCACCAAGAAUUACAUCCAACGUCAAGCAAAAUUUGCAGUUUUUAAGGAUAUGGAGGGAGUUUCAAAAGCGGAAAUCAAGUGCACCAAAGCCUACGACUAGGUAUC